UACGGAGGGUGCGAGCGUUGUCCGGAAUUAUUGGGCGUAAAGGGCGCGUAGGCGGUGCGGUAAGUCACCUGUGAAAUCUCCUGGCUCAACUGGGAGUCUGCAGGCGAAACUGCCGUGCUGGAGUAUGGGAGAGGUGCGUGGAAUUCCUGGUGUAGCGGUGAAAUGCGUAGAUAUCAGGAGGAACACCUGUGGCGAAAGCGGCGCACUGGACCAUAACUGACGCUGAGGCGCGAAAGCUAGGGGAGCAAACAGG
rnacentral:rRNA from 1 species